rnacentral:rRNA from 1 species
UGAGUAACACGUGGAUAACCUACCUAUAAGACUGGGAUAACUUCGGGAAACCGGAGCUAAUACCGUAUAAUAUAUUGAACCGCAUGGUUCAAUAGUGAAAGACGGUUUUGCUGUCACUUAUAGAUGGAUCCGCGCUGCAUUAGCUAGUUGGUAAGGUAACGGCUUACCAAGGCAACGAUGCGUAGCCGACCUGAGAGGGUGAUCGGCCACACUGGAACUGAGACACGGUCCAGACUCCUACGGGAGGCAGCAGCG